rnacentral:rRNA from 1 species
AACGCUGGCGGCGUGCCUAACACAUGCAAGUCAAACGGGAAAGGGGCUUCGGCCCUGAGUAGAGUGGCGAACGGGUGAGUAACACGUGGGUGAUCUACCUUCGAGUGGGGGAUAACGUUCCGAAAGGAACGCUAAUACCGCAUGACGUUCUGGGUUUAAAGACCUGGAAACCAAAGCCGGGGACCGCAAGGCCUGGCGCUUGAAGAGGAGCCCGCGUCCGAUUAGCUAGUUGGCGGGGUAAUGGCCCACCAAGGCGACGAUCGGUAGCCGGCCUGAGAGGGCGGACGGCCACACUGGAACUGAGACACGGUCCAGACUCUUACGGGAGGCAGCAGUGGGGAAUUGUUCACAAUGGGCGCAAGCCUGAUGACGCAACGCCGCGUGGGGGAUGAAGGUCUUCGGAUCGUAAACCCCUGUCGAAUGGGACGAAUGACCUCUGGGUUAAUCACCAGAGGAAUGACGGUACCGUUAAAGGAA